AUGAACGCUAGCGAUAGGCUUAACACAUGCAAGUCGCGGGGCAGCACAAGGUAGCUUGCUAUCUGGGUGGCGACCGGCGCACGGGUGCGUAACGCGUAUGCAACUUGCCCUAUACAGGAGGAUAACCCGUCGAAAGACGGACUAAUACUGCGUAUGCUCACAACUUGGCAUCAAGUGGUGAGGAAAGAAAUUCGGUAUAGGAUAGGCAUGCGUCCCAUUAGCUUGUUGGUGAGGUAACGGCUCACCAAGGCAACGAUGGGUAGGGGAACUGAGAGGUUUAUCCCCCACACUGGUACUGAGACACGGACCAGACUCCUACGGGAGGCAGCAGUGAGGAAUAUUGGUCAAUGGGCGCGAGCCUGAACCAGCCAAGUCGCGUGAAGGAUGACUGUCUUAUGGAUUGUAAACUUCUUUUAUACGGGAAUAACAAGAGUCACGUGUGACUCCCUGCAUGUACCGUAUGAAUAAGCAUCGGCUAACUCCGUG
rnacentral:rRNA from 1 species